UACGUAGGGGGCUAGCGUUGUCCGGAAUCAUUGGGCGUAAAGAGCGUGUAGGCGGCCCGGUAAGUCCGCUGUGAAAGUCGGGGGCUCAACCCUCGAAUGCCGGUGGAUACUGUCGGGCUAGAGUGCGGAAGAGGCGAGUGGAAUUCCUGGUGUAGCGGUGAAAUGCGCAGAUAUCAGGAGGAACACCGGUGGCGAAGGCGGAUCUCUGGGCCUGAUCUGACGCUGAGGCGCGAAAGCUAGGGGAGCGAACAGG
rnacentral:rRNA from 1 species